rnacentral:rRNA from 1 species
GGUUAAGCGACUAAGCGUACACGGUGGAUGCCCUGGCAGUCAGAGGCGAUGAAGGACGUGCUAAUCUGCGAUAAGCGUCGGUAAGGUGAUAUGAACCGUUAUAACCGGCGAUUUCCGAAUGGGGAAACCCAGUGUGUUUCGACACACUAUCAUUAACUGAAUCCAUAGGUUAAUGAGGCGAACCGGGGGAACUGAAACAUCUAAGUACCCCGAGGAAAAGAAAUCAACCGAGAUUCCCCCAGUAGCGGCGAGCGAACGGGGAGCAGCCCAGAGCCUGAAUCAGUGUGUGUGUUAGUGGAAGCGUCUGGAAAGGCGUGCGAUACAGGGUGACAGCCCCGUACACAAAAAUGCACAUGCUGUGAGCUCGAUGAGUAGGGCGGGACACGUGGUAUCCUGUCUGAAUAUGGGGGGACCAUCCUCCAAGGCUAAAUACUCCUGACUGACCGAUAGUGAACCAGUACCGUGAGGGAAAGGCGAAAAGAACCCCGGCGAGGGGAGUGAAAAAGAACCUGAAACCGUGUACGUACAAGCAGUGGGAGCACGCUUAGGCGUGUGACUGCGUACCUUUUGUAUAAUGGGUCAGCGACUUAUAUUCUGUAGCAAGGUUAACCGAAUAGGGGAGCCGAAGGGAAACCGAGUCUUAACUGGGCGUUAAGUUGCAGGGUAUAGACCCGAAACCCGGUGAUCUAGCCAUGGGCAGGUUGAAGGUUGGGUAACACUAACUGGAGGACCGAACCGACUAAUGUUGAAAAAUUAGCGGAUGACUUGUGGCUGGGGGUGAAAGGCCAAUCAAACCGGGAGAUAGCUGGUUCUCCCCGAAAGCUAUUUAGGUAGCGCCUCGUGAAUUCAUCUCCGGGGGUAGAGCACUGUUUCGGCAAGGGGGUCAUCCCGACUUACCAACCCGAUGCAAACUGCGAAUACCGGAGAAUGUUAUCACGGGAGACACACGGCGGGUGCUAACGUCCGUCGUGAAGAGGGAAACAACCCAGACCGCCAGCUAAGGUCCCAAAGUCAUGGUUAAGUGGGAAACGAUGUGGGAAGGCCCAGACAGCCAGGAUGUUGGCUUAGAAGCAGCCAUCAUUUAAAGAAAGCGUAAUAGCUCACUGGUCGAGUCGGCCUGCGCGGAAGAUGUAACGGGGCUAAACCAUGCACCGAAGCUGCGGCAGCGACACUAUGCGUUGUUGGGUAGGGGAGCGUUCUGUAAGCCUGUGAAGGUGUGCUGUGAGGCAUGCUGGAGGUAUCAGAAGUGCGAAUGCUGACAUAAGUAACGAUAAAGCGGGUGAAAAGCCCGCUCGCCGGAAGACCAAGGGUUCCUGUCCAACGUUAAUCGGGGCAGGGUGAGUCGACCCCUAAGGCGAGGCCGAAAGGCGUAGUCGAUGGGAAACAGGUUAAUAUUCCUGUACUUGGUGUUACUGCGAAGGGGGGACGGAGAAGGCUAUGUUGGCCGGGCGACGGUUGUCCCGGUUUAAGCGUGUAGGCUGGUUUUCCAGGCAAAUCCGGAAAAUCAAGGCUGAGGCGUGAUGACGAGGCACUACGGUGCUGAAGCAACAAAUGCCCUGCUUCCAGGAAAAGCCUCUAAGCAUCAGGUAACAUCAAAUCGUACCCCAAACCGACACAGGUGGUCAGGUAGAGAAUACCAAGGCGCUUGAGAGAACUCGGGUGAAGGAACUAGGCAAAAUGGUGCCGUAACUUCGGGAGAAGGCACGCUGAUAUGUAGGUGAAGCGACUUGCUCGUGGAGCUGAAAUCAGUCGAAGAUACCAGCUGGCUGCAACUGUUUAUUAAAAACACAGCACUGUGCAAACACGAAAGUGGACGUAUACGGUGUGACGCCUGCCCGGUGCCGGAAGGUUAAUUGAUGGGGUUAGCGGUAACGCGAAGCUCUUGAUCGAAGCCCCGGUAAACGGCGGCCGUAACUAUAACGGUCCUAAGGUAGCGAAAUUCCUUGUCGGGUAAGUUCCGACCUGCACGAAUGGCGUAAUGAUGGCCAGGCUGUCUCCACCCGAGACUCAGUGAAAUUGAACUCGCUGUGAAGAUGCAGUGUACCCGCGGCAAGACGGAAAGACCCCGUGAACCUUUACUAUAGCUUGACACUGAACAUUGAGCCUUGAUGUGUAGGAUAGGUGGGAGGCUUUGAAGUGUGGACGCCAGUCUGCAUGGAGCCGACCUUGAAAUACCACCCUUUAAUGUUUGAUGUUCUAACGUUGACCCGUAAUCCGGGUUGCGGACAGUGUCUGGUGGGUAGUUUGACUGGGGCGGUCUCCUCCUAAAGAGUAACGGAGGAGCACGAAGGUUGGCUAAUCCUGGUCGGACAUCAGGAGGUUAGUGCAAUGGCAUAAGCCAGCUUGACUGCGAGCGUGACGGCGCGAGCAGGUGCGAAAGCAGGUCAUAGUGAUCCGGUGGUUCUGAAUGGAAGGGCCAUCGCUCAACGGAUAAAAGGUACUCCGGGGAUAACAGGCUGAUACCGCCCAAGAGUUCAUAUCGACGGCGGUGUUUGGCACCUCGAUGUCGGCUCAUCACAUCCUGGGGCUGAAGUAGGUCCCAAGGGUAUGGCUGUUCGCCAUUUAAAGUGGUACGCGAGCUGGGUUUAGAACGUCGUGAGACAGUUCGGUCCCUAUCUGCCGUGGGCGCUGGAGAACUGAGGGGGGCUGCUCCUAGUACGAGAGGACCGGAGUGGACGCAUCACUGGUGUUCGGGUUGUCAUGCCAAUGGCACUGCCCGGUAGCUAAAUGCGGAAGAGAUAAGUGCUGAAAGCAUCUAAGCACGAAACUUGCCCCGAGAUGAGUUCUCCCUGACUCCUUGAGAGUCCUGAAGGAACGUUGAAGACGACGACGUUGAUAGGCCGGGUGUGUAAGCGCAGCGAUGCGUUGAGCUAACCGGUACUAAUGAACCGUGAGGCUUAACCUU